UAGGGAAUCUUCCGCAAUGGACGAAAGUCUGACGGAGCAACGCCGCGUGAGUGAUGAAGGUCUUCGGAUCGUAAAACUCUGUUGUUAGGGAAGAACAAGUAUAAGGCGAAUAACCUUAUACCUUGACGGUACCUAACCAGAAAGCCCCGGCUAACUACGUGCCAGCAGCCGCGGUAAUACGUAGGGGGCGAGCGUUGUCCGGAAUUAUUGGGCGUAAAGGGUGCGUAGGCGGUCUUCUAAGUCUGAUGUGAAAGCCCCCGGCUUAACCGGGGAGGGUCAUUGGAAACUGGAAGACUUGAGUGCAGAAGAGGAGAGCGGAAUUCCACGUGUAGCGGUGAAAUGCGUAGAGAUGUGGAGGAACACCAGUGGCGAAGGCGGCUCUCUGGUAUGUAAAUGACGCUGAGGCACGAAAGCGUGGGGAGCAAACAGG
rnacentral:rRNA from 1 species